UACGAAGGGGGCUAGCGUUGCUCGGAAUCACUGGGCGUAAAGCGCACGUAGGCGGCUUGUUAAGUCAGGGGUGAAAUCCUGGAGCUCAACUCCAGAACUGCCUUUGAUACUGACGGUCUUGAGUCCGGGAGAGGUGAGUGGAACUCCGAGUGUAGAGGUGAAAUUCGUAGAUAUUCGGAAGAACACCAGUGGCGAAGGCGGCUCACUGGCCCGGUACUGACGCUGAGGUGCGAAAGCGUGGGGAGCAAACAGG
rnacentral:rRNA from 1 species